GAACAAUGCCCAUGCAAAGACAUGUUGCCGAGCACUGCAUAGGGGUCAGUUUGUUUAAAGAGUUAAAUUUGAGGAUUCAAUUAGGUCCGUCCACAAUUUAACUCCUUCAAUUUUUAAGAAGUUAAGGAGCAUCGUGCAAUCUUACGUGGAGAUCCGUAUAAUUUUUUUAUUUUUUACUUUUAAUAUUGUGUCACUUGAUUGAUACCUGGGUAAGUCGGAGUCGACUGAAGAUCAAGCCACGCCCGAAGUUAAUUUAUAAGGCCUUGUUCGGUUGCAUGCGAAUCCAAGUGGAUUGAAGGGGUUUGAGGGGGAUUUAAACCUCUUAUAAGUCAAAAUACAAACUAAUUCUUGUCAAACCCCUUCAAUUCUCUUGAGAGAGGAUUAACCGAACAAGCCCUAAGGGAUCCGCUACCUGAAGUUAAUUUAUAAGGAUCGGCUAGAGGCACCAAGUCAAUACUGUUGACAAAAUAAUAAAGAGUCCAUCCUACAAAGAAGGAGAAAGUGUACGUACUCCAUACCAUACAUAAUUCUCACGCUGUAAGGAAUGAACAAAUCGAAUGGAAACGAGUGGUCAGCAAACACACGGCACGGCACGUACGUCCGUGGCUGCCGAAACACGACACAAACACACGAGUGCCAUGCAUGCGCGCAUCUGCACUGCACUCACCGGGC
rnacentral:lncRNA from 1 species